rnacentral:tRNA from 1 species
GUUCCAAUAGCUCAGUUGGUAGAGCACUAGACUUUUAAUCUAGUUGUCGAGGGUUCGAUUCCCUCUUGGGGCA